CUAAAUAAGUAAAGAAAUAAUUGAUGUUCGGGAAAAGAGUUAAAAUCUCUUGCUGUCCCAGCAACUGUGAUGUGGAUGAAAGUUACAAUAACCAUUGAAGGAAUCUUUGAGAAGGGUAGCUAGUAAAAAGAAACUAAGCCAGGAAACCGGUCAUUUAUUUCAUUAGAAUU
rnacentral:ncRNA from 18 species